AUUUUGAUGAAAAAAAUUAAGUGACUAAUAAUUUGAGCAAGCUAUAGCCCAUUUACCAUUCGUACCUUUUUUCAAGAUAAAACAGUGGUAGCCCCAUCAUUUCUUUAUAUUGAGAAUGAUUAUGUACUAGCUGAAAAUGUGAAGCAUACAAAAGAAGGAUUGAUCCUGAUGGAUUCUUAAAUCUUUUGUCUCUUUCAAAAUUUAAAUGACCAUAAUAUGAUAGUUGGCCAC
rnacentral:lncRNA from 1 species